GGCGCCUGCUGGCGUCGUCCGCGGCCUGCCCCCGGCCGCGCCGCCGAGGCGGGCCACCCUCAGGCUGCGCCGCGACGGCGAACCGAGGCGCUGGUAGUUCCUCCGCGCCCAGUACACCUGCACGCUUCGGCGCGGCCGGGACACGAGGCCGGCCAUGCGAUCGGAGAAGGCGUGUCCUCGUGCUCUGCUGGCGCGACGGGAUGGCACGGUGAUAUAUGUAGUAGCUGCGUG
rnacentral:lncRNA from 1 species